UGAUGGUGUUUAGAUUGAAGGACCCAUUAGUUUCACCUGUGUUGUGAUUGUCUGUAAGGGCAAUGGGUUUCUUAAUAAGUAUAGUGUAAUAAAGUGAUUGAUCAGCCUUCUGGAAUCAUGGAAUCAGUGCUAAUCAUUACCUGGCUGGGGGCCGGGCCUGUGACAAAACAAACGUUUCUGGAGGAUGGGGGCUUCAUUCAGGACUUUGAAUACAAAGUUACGACAGGAACAUUAUUCUGAAAUGGGAGACAGCCUCCAACAUCUGCCUGUUUCAAUGACUCGAGGUCUGUUAUCUUAGGAGUUGCUCCAGUUGCCCUUCAAACCCGGUACAUCAAAAAGCUCAAUGCCCCUCACAGAUCUGAGAAGAAUCUCCUUGCUCUGCAGUGAGGAAAUCCUCACAGCAAAUUCUGUGUGUGAUUUGAAUGGAUGAGAGUGUGGUGGUAUCCUCUGCACGCCUCAUGAAAGAGUGACCUUCAUCUGCUCCUGCCUAUGGAUCCAUGGAGGAAUCACAAUCUGAGCGCUGCCUUUGAUCUCCUGAGCGUGUGCUUGUGGGAACAGAGCAGCUGAUCACUGCCCUGUGAUAGAAUCUGCUCUGUGUGCCAGCUCUUUCAAAGGCUUUUUUGUCAUCUCUCUUGUAAUAAGGUGGUUAUGAACAUUUCAGAACACGAGUGAGAGGCAGUAAAAGCACAGAAAAAGGAAUAUUAGGCUCUAUGCAGCUUAUAAUUAAAAUCCUAGAGAGCAGUAGUUCUGAAGUGAGUAAAGAAAAGUACAAUAAAAGCAAGCAAACAAAAAAACUCCACUUGAUCCUGGAAAGCACAAAGGGAGGCUGCUCUGUAUGCAGGGCUUUCUAUUUCAAGUCACCUUAUCACCAAGACAGCUUUCAGUUUAAGAUGACAAACAAAAAGCCCAAAGGAAUUCUUUGCCCAUUCUGAGGGAGAGACAAGGCUCCUGUGCUGAUGCCUGGCACGUUUGAGCUCUGUCCCACACUGAGCACUUCCACAGUUUUAUACCUCACUGCUGUUUUAUGAUGCUUCCAAGGGAUUAACUUGACAGGGUGAAAACCAGCAAGAUGUAUAUUUGAAUAGAGAUUAAAAAUACAACACAGAGCAUUCUAUUCUCCUGUCAACAAUUUCAAGGUGAAAAGACCAACAACAUAUCAAGUAAUAAAAGCCACUUUGCAGAGGUUAGCAUAAUAUAACCAAAGAAAAGGGAGAGAAUGAGGAAAAGAACAAAACAUCUUUGGUAUGCUUCAAGCAUUAGAGCUCUUAGCUGUGGUCUGAAGAUCUAUAAGGCAGAACAUUCUUUUUAUUAUAUAUUAAUACAGUGUGAGCAGCAAGCAUAGCAACUACUAGGAUCAUGUGGCUGCUGCAUAUUUGUAUUUUUCCAUUUUGUCAAGAUGAAUGCAGUUAAAAUUUCAUUUUGUCAGGUGCAUAGACUUUAUACAUCUCAUAAACUCAAAAGUUUUAACAUAUUUUCGUAGCGCCCAGAAAAGAAUGGAGGGGCUUGUAGUGACUUUCUAUUGCCCAAGCCAGCAGCUGAAACACUUUCUAAAGUAGACUGGUGGGACACUGAUGGUGAGGUGUAAGAGAUGUGUAAAUAAAGGAGUUUGAGAGCAAUUGCAUUGAGACAAAAUUAAGUUACCUUGGGAAUCCCAUAUUUUUAUCAUCAUACCAAGCUGUUCUCUUGUUUAGAUUUUUUCAUUGAUGAAGAUGUUGAACCUUCACUUGAAGGACUGAAAGGAUGAGAGAAUCCCAUCUGCUCAUACUUGCACCAGCUGAUUAAAAACUUGGAUAUUUUCCUUUAGAAUUAUAUUGUGCUACAAGUUUGAAAUAGACUAGGGCAUGGUGUAAAUUUGCAUACUCUUUUUCAGAUAUACUUUUUCUGCUUAAUGUAUGAAGUGAAGCUUUACUUGUCCUGCUAUCCAUUACCAACAACAAAACCAAUUAAGAUUCUCAUUUCAAUUUGAAAAUACAUAACUAUAAAAAAAAAAUAAAUUCAUGCUUUACUGCAGAUAUUCAAAAGUAAUUUAGUAAUAAUACAUCAAAAAGAAUAUUUUUUGUGGGGCUGCUGAAAUCCACUAUUGCAAAGGUAUUUUUUUCUGGUCUUCUGACAGCAGUUAAGAUUGCUGUGCUGGUGAAGUGGGUCACAUCUGUAACUCAAAUUGUGCAGUUUCUCAUCACUAAUCGUAGCUGUUUGAAUUGCACUUCAAGACCUCGUCUACAUCUGUCUGCAGCACUGCUUCGGUUAAAAAAACUCAUAAAAGGGAAGUGAAAUCAUUAUCAGUUAAAUGUCUGACAGAGUCUUUUGCAAAUUUGUAUUAUAAUGAUUGUGUUUGAAAAAAAAUCAUGGGCUUGACAGGUGCAUUAAAGCUAAAAUAUGUUUGCUAAGGUUAAACAGCAGAAAGUCACAUUAUUGCUACUUGUGUUAGAGCUAUAAAACUAAGAAUUCACCACAAAGCUAAGGAGGUCUCUUGCUUUACUGGAGUUAGUUUGAAGCCAUUCAGUUGUGUGGGUGUUUUGAAGCAAUAAUACAAAAGCUAGUGACCAAAGAAUGAGAAUUUCUAUACAGUGCUUUGUAAUAAAUUUGAGCAAAGCCUGAGGGUGAUAUUGCACAAAGGAUGUGUCACUGGUCUUCCUGUGCAGCUGUGUGAGCCUGCAAUAAAGGUCCUAAAUGUUUCUGCUGCAGCAGAGUUGGGCUGAUAAUGAACACACAAUGUAGGCUGAUGUGGGAUGGGCUGUUAAACAGCAUCCUUUAAUAUGUUAUACUUUAAUUUCUUGUGGACUGUCCCAUACUCUUCCAUGGCAAACUGGGGUAAGGUACAGGUACAUUGGCAGCUGAUGGCUCCUCCAGCACAGCAGUCAGGACUCUUUUAUCUUGUUUCCCCUGUCUCUGUGAAGCCAACUUUCCAUGCCGUGAGUGAUCCAAGAACUGAUUAAUUCAUGUUCGCAAUGCGCUUGAAAGCUUAUCAAAGGGAAAGGGUGACAGAAGAAACAAUUUUAUUUUUAUUCCAGACUGCUGGCAGAGCCUGUGAGCUGCGGCUGUGCUGGGGCUUCGGUGCUGCUUGUUUUGAGCACAACACUUCAGUUGUCAUCACGGCGAGUGCUGGCCCACUGCUCUCACACAGCUCUUCCCUUGCAAAUGAGAUUCAUCUGGGCUCCCUUGGAGCAGCAGUGAUAGCACCAAACAUCU